rnacentral:rRNA from 1 species
AGAGUUUGAUCAUGGCUCAGAACGAACGCUGGCGGCAGGCUUAACACAUGCAAGUCGAACGCAUCCUUCGGGGUGAGUGGCAGACGGGUGAGUAACGCGUGGGAACAUGCCCUUCAGUUCGGAAUAACCCAGGGAAACUUGGGCUAAUACCGGAUACGUGCGAGAGCAGAAAGAUUUAUCGCUGAAGGAGUGGCCCGCGUCUGAUUAGCUAGUUGGUGAGGUAAAGGCUCACCAAGGCGACGAUCAGUAGCUGGUCUGAGAGGAUGAUCAGCCACACUGGGACUGAGACACGGCCCAGACUCCUACGGGAGGCAGCAGUGGGGAAUAUUGGACAAUGGGCGCAAGCCUGAUCCAGCCAUGCCGCGUGAGUGAUGAAGGCCUUAGGGUUGUAAAGCUCUUUCGGCGGGGACGAUAAUGACGGUACCCGCAGAAGAAGCCCCGGCUAACUUCGUGCCAGCAGCGGCGGUAAUAC